GACGAACGCUGGCGGCGUGCCUAAUACAUGCAAGUCGAACGAUGAAACUCGUCGCUGGCGAUCCGGGGCGAACGGGUGAAUAACAGGUUGGCAAGCUGCCCCCCGCCCUGGGAUAACUGCAAAACUUUGGGGCUACUGCCGGAUGUUCACCUCUUCCCUCAUGCGUGGUGGUGAAAAAGGUUUCCGGCUGGGGAUGGGCCCGCGGCCUAUCAGCUUGUUGGUGGGGUAGUGGCCUACCAAGGAGACGAUGGGUAGCCGGCCUGAGAGGGUGACCGGCCACACUGGGACUGAGACACGGCCCAGACUCCUACGGGAGGCAGCAGUGGGGAAUAUUGCGCAAUGGGCGGAAGCCUGACGCAGCGACGCCGCGUGGGGGAUGACGGCCUUCGGGUUGUAAACCUCUUUCAGCAGGGACGAAGCGGAAGUGACGGUACCUGCAGAAGAAGCACCGGCUAACUACGUG
rnacentral:rRNA from 1 species